GCAAGUCGAGCGGACUGAUGGGAGCUUGCUCCCUGAAGUCAGCGGCGGACGGGUGAGUAACACGUGGGUAACCUGCCUGUAAGACUGGGAUAACUCCGGGAAACCGGGGCUAAUACCGGAUAGUUCUUUUCCUCGCAUGAGGAAAAGUGGAAAGGCGGCUUCGGCUGCCACUUACAGAUGGACCCGCGGCGCAUUAGCUAGUUGGUGAGGUAACGGCUCACCAAGGCAACGAUGCGUAGCCGACCUGAGAGGGUGAUCGGCCACACUGGGACUGAGACACGGCCCAGACUCCUACGGGAGGCAGCAGUAGGGAAUCUUCCGCAAUGGACGAAAGUCUGACGGAGCAACGCCGCGUGAGUGAUGAAGGUUUUCGGAUCGUAAAGCUCUGUUGUUAGGGAAGAACAAGUGCCGUUCGAAUAGGGCGGCACCUUGACGGUACCUAACCAGAAAGCCACGGCUAACUACGUGCCAGCAGCCGCGGUAAUACGUAGGUGGCAAGCGUUGUCCGGAAUUAUUGGGCGUAAAGCGCGCGCAGGCGGUCUCUUAAGUCUGAUGUGAAAGCCCACGGCUCAACCGUGGAGGGUCAUUGGANACUGGGGGACUUGAGUACAGAAGAGGAAAGUGGAAUUCCACGUGUAGCGGUGAAAUGCGUAGAUAUGUGGAGGAACACCAGUGGCGAAAGCGACUUUCUGGUCUGUAACUGACGC
rnacentral:rRNA from 1 species